rnacentral:rRNA from 1 species
UACGUAGGGUGCAAGCGUUGUCCGGAAUUAUUGGGCGUAAAGAGCUUGUAGGCGGUUUGUCGCGUCUGCUGUGAAAUUUCGGGGCUCAACCCCGAACUUGCAGUGGGUACGGGCAGACUAGAGUGUGGUAGGGGAGACUGGAAUUCCUGGUGUAGCGGUGAAAUGCGCAGAUAUCUGGAGGAACACCGGUGGCGAAGGCGGCAUCCUGGACCAACACUGACGCUGAGUGAGCGAAAGCCAGGGGAGCAAACGGG